CCUACGGGCGGCAGCAGUGAGGAAUAUUGGUCAAUGUACGAGAGUCUGAACCAGCCAAGUAGCGUGAAGGAUGACUGCCCUAUGGGUUGUAAACUUCUUUUAUAUGGGAAUAAAACGUUCCACGUGUGGGAUUUUGUAUGUACCAUAUGAAUAAGGAUAGGCUAACUCCGUGCCAGCAGCCGCGGUAAUACGGAGGAUCCGAGCGUUAUCCGGAUUUAUUGGGUUUAAAGGGAGCGUAGGUGGAUUGUUAAGUCAGUUGUGAAAGUUUGCGGCUCAACCGUAAAAUUGCAGUUGAAACUGGCAGUCUUGAGGACAGUAGAGGUGGGCGGAAUUCGUGGUGUAGCGGUGAAAUGCUUAGAUAUCACGAAGAACUCCGAUUGCGAAGGCAGUUCACUGGACUGCAACUGACACUGAGGCUCGAAAGUGUGGGUAUCAAACAGGAUUAGAUACCCUAGUAGUC
rnacentral:rRNA from 1 species